rnacentral:rRNA from 1 species
AGCGAACGCUGGCGGCAGGCUUAACACAUGCAAGUCGAACACCCCGCAAGGGGAGUGGCAGACGGGUGAGUAACACGUGGGAACGUACCCUUUGGUUCGGAAUAACUUGGGGAAACUCAAGCUAAUACCGGAUAAGCCCUUAUGGGGAAAGGUUUACUGCCGAAGGAUCGGCCCGCGUCUGAUUAGCUAGUUGGUGAGGUAAUGGCGCACCAAGGCGACGAUCAGUAGCUGGUCUGAGAGGAUGAUCAGCCACCCUGGGACUGAGACACGGCCCAGACUCCUACGGGAGGCAGCAGUGGGGAAUAGUGGUCAAUGGGGGCAACCCUGAUCCAGCCAUGCCGCGUGAGUGAUGAAGGCCUUAGGGUUGUAAAGCUCUUUUACCCGGGACGAUAAUGACUGUACCGGGAGAAUAAGCCCCGGCUAACUUCGUGCCAGCCGCCGCGGUAA